rnacentral:rRNA from 1 species
AAUCAACGCUGGCGGCGUGCCUAACACAUGCAAGUCGAACGCGAAAGUUCCUUCGGGGAUGAGUAGAGUGGCGUCCGGGUGAGUAACGCGUGGGUAAUCUACCUUCGGGUGGGGAAUAACCCAGGGAAACUUGGGCUAAUACCGCAUAAUGCAGCGGCUCGACAUCGAGACAGUUGUUAAAGCAGCAAUGCGCCUGAAGAGGAGCCUGCGUCUGAUUAGCUUGUUGGUGAGGUAAUGGCUCACCAAGGCUUCGAUCAGUAGCUGGUCUGAGAGGACGGACAGCCACAAUGGCACUGAAACACGGGCCAUACUCCUACGGGAGGCAGCAGUGGGGAAUUUCGCGCAAUGGGCGAAAGCCUGACGCAGCAACGCCGCGUGAAGGAUGAAAUCCCUCGGGAUGUAAACUUCGCAAAUAUGGGAAGAAAAAAAUGACGGUACCAUAUGUAAGCCCCGGCUAACUCCGUGCCAGCCGCCGCCGUAACAC